UACAGAGACUGCGAGCGUUAUUCGGAUUCACUGGGCGUAAAGGGUGCGCAGGCGGCCAAGUGUGUUAGGCGUGAAAGCCUGGGGCUUAACCUCAGAAUUGCACCUAAAACUACAUGGCUAGAGCAUUGGAGAGGGUAGCGGAAUUCACGGUGUAGCAGUGAAAUGCGUAGAUAUCGUGAGGAACACCAGAGGAGAAGGCGGCUACCUGGACAAUUGCUGACGCUCAGGCACGAAAGCGUGGGGAGCAAAAGGG
rnacentral:rRNA from 1 species